CUAGCCGUAAACGAUCCCCGUUAGAUAUUCGACCUGUCCUUUGAAUUCUUUCUUCGGAAAGAAUGAGGAGGCCGGUUGAGUGUCACAGCUAAUGCAUUAAACGGGGCGCCUGGGGAGUACGGCCGCAAGGCUAAAACUCAAAGGAAUUGACGGGGACCCGCACAAGCAGUGGAGCGUUUGGUUUAAUUCGAUGCUAAGCGAAGAACCUUACCAGGGUUUGAACUGUAGCUGCAUACCCCCUGAAAAGGGGGAGGCUUUCGAGGGUGCUACAGAGGUGC
rnacentral:rRNA from 1 species